AAAUGUUACCGGUCCUUACCCAAUAAAAAUGGUUCAAGAAAAAAUAUCACCGCUUAUUUUGUAAUUCCAUCACCAAUUUACUAUAUUAUUUUGUAUCUAAGCUGGUCUUGAGGAACUUGUACGUAUUUGCUCCUCGUACAUAAAUAAUAAUAAUAAAAUAAACUACUCCUCGUUGUCUUCCUCCAACCCGAUGGUGUCCUCUCCACCCUCCUUUUUGCGAAGAAUGCGCGCUCGUCGAGGACUUCAAGC
rnacentral:lncRNA from 1 species